AUGCGGCGCUGGCGGGGCGCGGGGCUGGCGGCGCUGGCCGCGGUGCUGCUCGUGUCUGCAGGCAGAGCCCUGGUGCAGCAGGACCCAUUGGUAGAGACCACCGAGGGCAGGGAAAUCACCAUCAAGUGUUCCCACCCCAACAUACGGACCGGUGAUUUCAUCCAUUUCUACCGGCAGCUCCCGGGCCACAGCCCCGAGCUCCUCGAACGGGCUGCUAAAGGGUCCAGAGAGCUGCGGGAGCCAGCGGGGCGGCUGUCGGUGUCACCAGACCGUCGCUGGAGCACCCUCUGGCUCUCCCGGCCCCGUGGGAAGGACGCGGCCGUGUAUUCCUGUGCCCUGGGACACACGGCCAGAGCAGCCGGGGCUGCGGCCGGGCACGAACCGCCGCGGGCGGGGCCGGGCGGGGCCGGGGGCACAGCGCCGGCCGGGGCCUGCAGGGCUUUGUCACAUGCUGCAAAUCCCACCUGUGCUCACAUUCACUGCCACCGUCGGCUCUGCGGCUUUUCAUUGUUUCUACAGCUGAGCAAAGGAACGUCCCUGUGA